AUCCGUCGCUAAAACCCGUCCGUAGCUAAUCCGUAGCAGAUUCCGAAGCUGGGUCGUAGCAAAUCGGUAGCUAUUUUUUUUUUUAAUUAAAAUCCAUCAUAUUUACCUGUUAUUGAAUACCCCUGACGUUAUCUACCUUCAUUCGACGAACAGAUAGAAAAGAAGCUGUGAAGCCGACCUAUUUCCCCUCUCGUUCGUCAAUCGCCGGCGGCCUCUUCGACGUCGACAUUGCCGUCGCCGACCGUCCCUCCCAACCCACCUUCUUCUCCGGCGCAUCUUCCCUCCUCUCUCUCGGCCUCUUUGCUCGAUUCUUCCCCAGAAAGGUAAAACCCUAGUUUGUUUUUUUUUUUUUUGAAAUAAAUGUGGUCAAUUCUUCAUUUCUGUUGUAGAUUCAUGAGUUUUUGGGAAGUGGUUCUAAUAUUCUUUUUGUUUCUUUAAAUCCUGAGGGUAUUGCACUCCACCUGUUUGUUGUUAUGCCUAUGAGAUCAUUCAACUUUUUCAUAUAGUAAUUUCAUGGGGCAAACUUAUUUCCUGUUAAUGAUUAUGUAUAUGAGCUUCAGAGCUAUAUGUAUGCAACUAUAGGUCUCUCUCUGAUAGAACUCGAGAAUGAUCCAUGAUAAUAUGAUUACUAUAUGUGGUAGCUGCUGAAUUAAAUGUUUGUUGUUUGUUUUAGAUCCUGUAUCAGGUUGGUCAUCAGAUUGUUGUAAGAUAAAUGACUUUGGUGUUAACUUCCCUACAACUUUAACUUAUAAAUAGAGCUUUGGUUAAUGUUUGCUGUAUGAACUAUGAUGGGAUGAGGCCCAUAACAGAAUAAAUUAUUUCUUUUGCUUCAAACUUAUCUAAAUUAGGAAGAUGUUUCCAACUUUCAGGACAUCAUCUGAUGAAGGAACCUUAUACAACCAUGUUCAAUGAAACAGAGCUACUAACAAGAUAUAUUCGUGAAAUUCAAAGAACAGUACAAGUGGUUUAAGAGUUCUUCCGGUAAGUGUUGAUACUAAAUUCAAUCCUUUAUUGUGAAGUGCACAUUUGGUGAAAAAAGUGGCCAUUAAUACAUCAACUGAGCAUAUCAUAUUUCUAACCUACAUUUAAAAUGGUUUGCCCAAGCUUGUAAUUAUCUUCUUGGGUUUGUGCCCAUUUGCCAUUGGUAAAAUUGAGUUGAAUUACUUGCCAUUGAUGAUACUUGUCAGGUGAAAUGAAUAUUUCUAAAUGGAAAAAGAUGGAUUCCAAAUCCUUAGUGAUAAGCUGAAUAUUGGUCCCCUCAGCUCCCUGUACUCUUCUAAAGAUUCUCCAAACCCAAGGUUAUUUCUGCUCAUGUUACAUUUACUUUAUAUAGAGCAAAUUUCCACCUUUCAUUUGUAGGUAAUAUGGGUGUUGGAUGUUUUUGUAACUAGGUAGGGGGUUAUGAGAAUGCAUUUCCUCCCAAAAAGCUAUACUUAUUAGUUAUAAUUUUUAUUUUGGACAUGACCAGUUCUAUCACUCUAUAUGUUCUAUGAUAAUUAUCAGACCAGUUCUAUCACUUUUUAUAUUUAUGAAAAAAAAUUAAAAGUUAGGAAAAUAUUAUGAACGAAUCUAAGCUUGAUUUGAGGCUGAAGUCAAAUUAGUUCGAGAUCUUGAUGAACAAACUAAGAAUAAAUUAUCUAACAUGUUCCUUGAGCAGAUCUGAAUCUGGGUGUAAAGACUAGAUCAUAAUUUAGGUCUACAUUUCAGAUUGAGGUUAUUAAUCGAAGAACAAACACAUAAAGAUAAAGACCCCGAAUACUUCAACACAACAGCCAAACUAAAACUGUUUCUCAUAGCAAAAAAUUAGAACUAUUACAAAAGAAAAAAAAAGAUCAUAAUUAAUUAAUUAUUGAAAGAGAAGAAGUGUAGUCGGUAUAGAAACAUAAGCCAAGCAGCAAAAGAAUAACUAUCUAACCAUAAAGAGACAAAUCUAUAUUUCAAUUUCAAACAUAUAGUCAUAAUUAAAUGUACAAUAACCAGUUUAUGGGCUCAACUAAAUUUAAAAAUCAAUAUUAAUUUGGCCUAUAAAAUAUUAAGAAUAUUAAAUUUCCGAUUUACUCAUUUCUAAUAUUAUUUAUUUUUCUUUUUAAUAUUACAAUGAUCAUCUAAUUAUUAAAAUUACUAUGUUAAAAAUAUUUAAAAAGUUUAUAAUCUAGAAAAAUGAUGUAACAUGGCACGUUAAGUUUAUAAUCUAGAAAGAUGAUGUAACAGGGCCCAUUAAGUCUCUUAGGUAUUAUGAUAAAAGGAUUAUUAUUAGAAUAUUACUCAUUAAUUUUUGUGAUUAUUUUUAGGUAUUAUUCCACACAUGAGUUAAUUUUUUUUUCUUAGGCUUUCGUCGCACUAAUUUAUUUUUUUAACGAUAAAACUGAUUUGAAUUGCCAAUCAAUCUCUUAGUGUUACCAAAAUAUCAUCUUUUGAAAAAUCAAUAACUGGAAUAACAAUGACAACUAUAGUAAGUGUUUUGAUAUGUACAUAAAAAAAUUAGACACCAACUUUUAGACAUUCAAAAAAAGAAUAAAUAAAAAUAUAUAGAAACUUUAACCAAAUAAAAGAUUAAUACUCAACCAAAAAAGUACGUUGAUUUGUAUGUUGAUAAUAUUGAUUAAGUUGAUAAUAAACAAAAGGACAUUGCUAUUAUGGUUAAAAGUUAGGUAGUUUGUUGAUAAUAUUGAUUAAAUUGAUAAUAAACAAAAGUACGUUGCUAUUAUGGUUAAAAGUUAGGUAGUUUGUUGAUAAUAUUGAUUAAAUUAAUAAUAAACAUAAGUGCGUUGUUAUUAUUGUUAAAAGUUAAGUAUAUUGCUAUAAGUAUUAUAAACAAAAAUGCAUUGUUAUAAUAAACUAAAGUACAUUGCUAAUAUUGUUUAAUUAUUGCAUUGUGUUGCCAUUUUUUUAGGUUGAUAGGUUGCGUGCACAAGUUUCUACCAUGGAACAACAACAACAACAACAAAUGAAAGAACAAAUGGAAAUGGUAAUGAGGAUGAUGAAUAUGUCUUGAAAUCAACCCCGUGCUCCCCCCGAUAAUCCACCUGAGGACAAUUGAUAAGUAUUUUGGAACAAUUGAAUUUGUAAACAUUUGAUAUUGUUUGUUUUGUUAAGUAAUGCUUACUUUUGUAAGAUAUUUUGGAUAAUGGAAUGGAAUGUGUCAAACUUGGUAUUAGGGACGUUUUUUGGUGUAUUUUAUAUGGUAUUUGAGACAAAUGUGAAUUGAAUGUGGUAUUUGACAAAAAAUUGGAAAAUUUUAAAUUAAUUUUUUUUUUUUUAAAAUAAAACGAAGUUAGCUACGGAAUAGCUACGGAUUUCCGUAGCUAUUUACUUUCGUAGCUAUUCCGUAGCUAUUUGGAUCCGUAGCUAUUUAGUUCCGUAGCUAUUUGGAUCCGUAGCUAUUCCGUAGCUAUUUAGUUCCGUAGCUAUUUAGUUUCGUAGCUAUUCCGUAGGAAAUUUGUAGCUAUUUAUUUCUGUAGCUAUUCCGUAGCUAUAGUAGCUACGGAAAAUUCCGUAGCUAUUCCGC
rnacentral:lncRNA from 1 species